UACGUAGGUGGCAAGCGUUGUCCGGAUUUACUGGGCGUAAAGAGCGCGCAGGCGGUCGACCAAGUCGCGUGUGAAAGCCCCCGGCUCAACUGGGGAGGGUCACGCGAUACUGAUCGACUCGAAGGCAGGAGAGGGUAGUGGAAUUCCCGGUGUAGUGGUGAAAUGCGUAGAUAUCGGGAGGAACACCUGUGGCGAAGGCGGCCAUCUGGACAACUACUGACACUGAGACGCGAAAGCGUGGGUAGCAAACAGG
rnacentral:rRNA from 1 species